UUCUUUCUGUUCAAUCCUCCAAUGGAGGGAGUAACAAAAUUCAUCUACCAUUAAAACUGUAUCAUCCUCAGGUUUAUCAUUUUUCAAAUUUCAUUGAUUCAUUCAUUCACACAUACAUAGAUAUGAUGAAUUCAUUACACACACUUAUGUGUGUGUUUUCCUCUUGAAACUGAUUCAAGCAGCCCUAAACGUUUUCCAUUUAUAAAGGAUUCCGCUGGUUUUCAGGAUUGGGGUAAACGGAAGAAUAAAGGGUCUCCCAUUCAAAUGCCAUUGGUCUCGGAAGAGACCCCGAACUUCAGAUUUGAAGCGAUCAAGAUUGUUUAAUUGGUGUCGUGUUGGAUCUGAUGGUGAAAAAAACACCAUUGUGUUCGUAUUGUUUAAGGAAUCGAGAAGAGGGUAGUGGCAUCAUUGGGGGUGCUGGGAUUGUGGAGGAUUGGGAUUGGGUGGUGAUUGGAGUUACAGGAGGAAGAUGCAGCUGCACUUCUCACCUAGCAUGAGAAGUAUAACAAUAUCGAGCAGCAAUAACAAUGGAGGGUUUGGUGAAUUAAUGAAGAUCAAACUCGCACCUCGCCAUUUCAACUUUAGAAGACUCUUUCAUACAAUACUUCUCCUAGCUUUUUUGUUGCCUUUUGUCUUCAUUCUCACUGCUCUUGUUACCCUUGAAGGCGUCAACAAGUGCUCCUCAUUUGACUGUUUAGGUAGACGAUUGGGACCAAAGCUUCUUGGACGAACUGAUGAUUCAAAACAGAGACUGGUAAAGAAUUUUGUUAAGAUCCUCAAUCAAGUAAACUCUGAGGAACUGCCAUCUGUUAUGAAGCUCCCAGAGUCUUAUGCUCAUCUUGUUUCUGAAAUGAAAAAUAACAAGUACAGUGCAAAAGAAUUUGCUUUGAUGCUGAAGGGAAUGAUGGAGAGAUCUGAAAGGGAGAUCAGGGAAUCAAAAUUUGCAGAGCUAAUGAAUAAGCACUUUGCUGCUAGUGCAGUCCCUAAAGGCAUUCACUGUCUUUCACUGCGGCUGACUGAUGAGUACUCCUCUAAUGCUCAUGCACGAAGACAGUUGCCUUCGCCAGAACUACUCUCUCUCCUUUCCGAGAACUUGUUGCACCAUUUUGUAUUGUCAACUGAUAACAUCCUAGCUGCUUCAGUUGUGGUCAAUUCUGCCGUGCAGUCAUCUUUGAGGCCUGAAAAAACUGUUUUCCAUGUCAUCACUGACAAGAAAACAUAUGCAGGGAUGCACUCCUGGUUUGCUCUUAAUCCUGUCUCUCCAGCGAUUGUGGAAGUUAGAGGUAUUCAUCAGUUUGACUGGUUAACCAGAGAAAAUAUUCCAGUGCUUGAAGCAGUUGAGGGUCAUUAUGGGAUUCGGAAAUACUACCAUGGAAACCAUGUAACUGGCGCCAAUCUCAGUGAUACUACUACUCCACGAUCUUUUGCCUCAAAACUGCAGGCUAGAAGCCCAAAAUACAUUUCCUUGCUCAAUCACAUUCGCAUAUAUUUGCCAGAGCUCUUCCCAAACCUUCAUAAAGUGGUUUUCUUGGAUGACGAUGUUGUGAUUCAGCGUGACUUGUCUCCAUUGUGGGACAUUGACCUUAAGGGAAAGGUGAAUGGAGCUGUUGAGACCUGUAAAGGAGAAGAUGAGUGGGUGAUGUCAAAGCGAUUCAGAAACUACUUUAAUUUUUCUCAUCCUCUCAUAGCAAAAAAUUUGAACCCUGACGAGUGUGCAUGGGCUUAUGGGAUGAAUAUCUUUGACUUGCAUACAUGGAGAAAGACAAAUAUAAGAGAUACUUACCAUUCAUGGCUUAAAGAGAAUCUGAAGUCCAAACUGACAAUGUGGAAGCUUGGAACACUACCUCCUGCUUUGAUUGCAUUCAAGGGUCAUGUUCACCCAAUUGAUCCCUCAUGGCACAUGCUCGGCUUGGGCUAUCAAAAUAAGUCCAACAUUGAUAAAGUGAAGAAGGCUGCUGUAAUUCAUUACAAUGGCCAGUCCAAACCUUGGUUGGAGUUGGGCUUCGAGCAUCUCCGUCCUUAUUGGACCAAGUAUGUAGACUACUCCAACGAUUUUAUAAAGAAUUGCCACAUAUUGGAGUAAUCGAUAGGUUGCACUCCAACUACAAAACACAAAGCAGGAAUCCAGAAGUUGCAGACUUUUUCAUUCUAUGUAACUCCACAAUCGAAUAGAAGAGGAAAUUCUCAGAUUGGCUGAAUUUGAUCAGGAGCUGUUUAUUGAGAAGAAAAGCCAGGAUUGCAGGCCAUGUUGAAAAGCUCUCCUACUUAGAUACAGAGAUAAUUCUUUAUCUUAAAAAUAUUGAUUUUUUUCUUUAUAUUGUCAGUCAUCACCCACCCACAUUCAACUUUUAUUACUUGAUUAAAUUAUCUCUAUUACAUCAGACUGUAAGUAAUGGAGAGAAUUUGG